UUUGAUAUAUAAGUUGAUCGAGUUUUUUUUUCCAAAAAAAAGCGACAUUAAUUUCUUGACGGCCUAAUACAUAAGUGUGUGGGUGUAUG